ensembl:lncRNA ODC1-DT ODC1 divergent transcript
GGCCCCGGCCCGCGGCAGCUGAACGGCAGAGCCUGUAGCUGCACAGCUGUGCUUCCACCUGGCGUUCAGUACCUCGUGCCCGAGAGCGGAAAAGGGAAAUCGCGAGCGGAGGACCGAUGUGCUGGCCACGUGGGCCCCGCCGGGCCGACUCCGGACCCUGCUGCCGCCCAUUCCUCCGGUGCAAGGGACCUGGAAGUGAUCCCGGUGCCGCUCUGCUCCCACCAGCUAGGGAGCAGAGGCGCGGGAGGGAAGGGGCGUCCCGGGGGUCGCCAGCACGCUGCGGGCAGGGCUGGCAGCCGCCUCCACGCCCCCGCGCUGGAAGCCUCGUCUUUGUAACAUCGAGGUAUCCUGUAACUAGAUGGGUCCUGGCCUGCGGAGGUAGUUUCCCCUGUGAAGCCAGGGACUCAGCCAGGAGCGUGAGGGGACCCGGAUCCUGAGUCUCCAAGCCGCCCACUACCCUCUGCUUUACCGGAUGGAACUCAUCAGUAACUAGGUAUCUUUAAGGGCGGCUCCCUGGCGCGCUCUGAGAGUUACGGAAGUCCCAAAAUGCUUUGACCGAAAACGUCUAAACAGUGAAUACAUAAAGCAAAAAGCCGCGUGGGAAAUUCGAGUCCCUAGGAGCGCCCAGGGGACGCCUCUGGAGGUGGACUGCCACUCACUCCAGGCCACGCUGGAAUGCCCGCACCAGGGAGGCACUGCACUUGAAUUGGGGACACUUUUUUUUUUUUUUUUCAUUUUUACCUUUCAUUCCCUUUUGGACAAUCCAGACAGGAUAUGUCUCUCCCUAGGGUGGGGAUUUCGACUCCUUAGGGUGGGAGUACAGCCGAUGAAGAGUUAAGGAGAGGAGUGGGUAGAUCUAGAUCUAGCCUUGGGUGGGUGGGGGCGGGGUUGGAGGAGCUCAGAGCACUGGCCCAGCGCUGCCCCCAACUUGCUGUGUGCUCUUGGACAAGUUAUCUCCCUUCUCUGGGCUUCAGAUAACCCAAGGAUCCUUACAUAUCUUUAUAGCUACAAAGCCCUGUGAGGUUUUGAAAAACUUCCUUGGUACCCAAAACCAGGUCUGAGGCACAGUCAGUGAAUACCUGUUUAAUGAAUGCAUGCAUAAAUGAAUGAAUGGAUGAUCCAGCUCUUCCUGGAGCAGGCACGACUUCCACAGAAACAGAGCAAACGCUAGCCGUAAGCAGAAGUGAGUCUUCUUCCUAUGUGAAGGGAUGUGGGGGUGGUACGCCCCUAUCAACUUUAUCUUUACAUAGUCCUUGAGCGCCCACCGGGCACCGUGUUCCCCGGACUAGAGGGAGGGAGAGGGGGGUUAGCUCCACCCUUAACAAGCUUAAUUCUUGAUGAGAUUAACCAUCAAAACCCAUCAGAGAACGUUAUAGCUCCAGCGCUGAAUGAGACAUCUUUGAUUCUGUGGUGAUGCGGACUUUGUGCCUCUCUGUGAGGAAUCACUUUGUUCCAAUGACGCAAUUUUCCUCACACUCCGGAAGUGUCCUGCACUGCCAGAAUCGCCCAGCUUCCCGGCACACCUAUCAACCAGUCGUUCCCAGCACUGCCCAGUAUGCAGCCUCCAGGCAGAGGGCCUGGAUGUCUUGGCAGGUGUUUCCGAAAAAUCCAAUCCACCCUCCAAGGUGGAAAGUGUGCCAUCUCUGCCCAUAAUCCAAAUGGCGUGCCUGAGGCAUAGAAAGCAGCUUUCAGGGAGGCCUUCCUUCCUCUGAGCAAUGGUGGCAUCAUCAGAAAAGUGGAGCUCCUCCAAAAGGAUCUGCUGGAAGCAGAGGACGCCCAUGUCGCCUGGUGACUCCCUCUGACCCAACAAGUUGCAGCACCUCUGCUGGGCUUUGCCACUGCCCCAUUUUUGCCAGAGCCUCACCCUGGUGGGGCCCCACCUCUGGGAAGCCCCAGCGCCUGCAAGAUUUUUUCCUCUCGUGACAGGGAGCAGCAUGCGGAGGGCCCUUGCACAACCUGGGUCUUCAGGAAGUUCCUUGCCCAGGUGUUGGCCCAGCUCUCUUCAUGGUUCCAAGAAGGCUGCCCCAGGAAGGCUUGUGGACAGAGGGAGAAGCAUCUCUUCCUCUAUGUCUCUUUUUAUCUAAGAAACCAGUUUGACCAGCAUCCUUCCCCUCGGCUCCCCAGGAGGAAUGCACGGAUCCCUUCGCCUUCCCCCAUCCCUCCAUGGUUGACUAAACCCACUAGGAUCCACUCUUUUGCGUGGAAAUGGGUUCAGGCCUCCCACGAAGAGCAUGAAGAUGCCCUCUGUUAUGGGUUACAUUAUGUCCCCUGCCCCCGAGACCGUAUGUUGAGUCCUAACCCUAGUAUUGCAGAACGUGAAUUUAUUAGGAGAUAGGGUCUUUAUGGAGGUCAUUAAGUUAAAUGAGGGUGUUAGGGUGGGCUGGUGUCCUGAUAUAAAGGGGAAAUUUGGGGCUGGGUGUAGUGGCUCACACAUAUAAUCCCAGUGCCUCGAGAGGCCAAGGCAGGAGGAUUGCUUGAGGGCAGGAGUUCAAGACCAGCUUGGGUAACAUAGGGAGACCGGUAUCUAUAAAAAAAAUUAAAAACAAAAAAAUUAGCCGAGUGUGGUGGUGCAUGCCUGUAGUCCCAGCUACUCAGGAGGCUGAGGUGGGAGGAUCGCUUGAGUCCAGGAAUUUGAGGCUGCAGUGAGCCAUAAAAAGAUGGGGGACGAUGGAGACGCACAGGGAAAACACCUUGUGAAUGCGGCAGAGAUAAGGGUGAUGCCUCUACACACCGAGGAACUUCAGAGACAACCAGUAAGUCACUGGGAGCUCGGGGAAGGCACAGCGCAGAUGCUCGCUGCCCUCAGAGGGAAGCCAGCCCGCCAACCCCUUGAUCUCAGACCUCUGGCCCCUGGAACUGUGAGAUGAUAGAUUUCUGUCGUUUAAGCACAGUGGUGCUGUGUUAUAGCAGCCCUAGGGAACCAUCCACUAUCAGAACAAAAGCAGGGCUGGACUGCUAGAAGAAAGGAGAGGAGAAUGGCAGAGGAUACCCACCUUGGGGCUGAAUCUGAGAUCACUCCAGGGCUCCCCAGGUUGUUUUGAAGAAUGGAGAUGGAUUUGUGCAGGGCUCACUGUAGAAGCUCAGUGCAGCAUGCGACGCUUAUAAGGCUGCAAUCCCCAGAGCUCAGUCCCUGAAGAGCGCUGCAUUCACAGACAUCAGCCAGCAGACAAACCAGUACCUAUUGUCCCUGACCCCCAGAAUCCAGCAGACAUAUAAAAGAUGGUUGUUAACCCCACUAAGUUUUGGGGUAAUUUGUUAUGCAGCCAUGCAACUGAAAGAAGCAGCUACAAUAUUUUUAUAAUGAAAUUCUUAGCCAGGACCCUCAUAGCCUAGCAAGAAGUUCUGUCUGGAAGAGCCCAGCUUUGGGGUUGGGUAUGUCUGGGUUUUAAUAUGUCAAGAGGGCAGGCCCUGGAGACGGAGCACAUGGAUUUGAAUCCCAGCCUCUCAUAGGCAGGUUAAUUAAUUUCCCUGAAUCUCAGUUUCUUCAUCUCUCAAUGGAGAAAAUAAUAGAAGCCACCUCACGGGAAUUAAAUGAGAUUAUUUACGCACAGCACCAAGGCUGUGGCUACUGUAUUUGACCCCUGAAACAGUUAAUUUUUCUUGACAUCCCUUCCUUGGUAUAUGUAUUAGUCAGGGUUCUCUAGAGGGACAGAACUAAUAGGAUAUCUCUCUCUCUAUAGAUUUAUAUAAAGGGGAGUUUAUUAAGUAUUAACUUACACAAUCACAAGGUCCUGCAAUAGGUCGUCUGCAGGCUGAGGAGCAAGGAGAGCCAGUUCAAGUCCCAAAACUGAAGAACUUGGAGUCUGAUGUUCGAGUCCAGGAAGCAUCCAGCACAGGAGAAAGAUGGAAGCUGGGAGGCCAGGCCUGACUCUCCUUUUCAUGUUUUUCUGCCUGCUUUAUAUCCGCUGGCAGCUGAUUAGGUGGUGCCCACCAGAUUAAGGGUGGAUCUGCCUUCCCCAGCCCACUGACUCAAAUGUUAAUCUCUUUUGGCAACACCCUCACAGACACACCCAGGAUCAAUACUGUCAGUUCAAUCAAGUUGACACUCAGUAUGAACCAUCGCAAUACAAUAGGAUUACUUUCUGUGAUAACCUGUGUAAAAAUAGGCAGUCAUGAUUUUCCUGUUGUGUUCUUCAGGUGUAAAACAAAAAAUUUUAAAAGAAGAAACUUCAAUUUUAAAGAUAUUAUUCAAACUAAGUUAAACAUUUUGUGUAUAAAUUAAAACAAUAAAUUUUGUUUGCA